CUUAUUCCUCGUAAAGGCAAUUUGUCACAGUUUAGAAAAUUUCUAAAUUAUCUUCUAAUCUAGAUCAAGAUUCUAUAACAAUUCAAGAUUUCAAACUGAAUUAGUCCAAUUCUUGUUCAAUUUCAGAAUUUGGGAAGUCAAUUCUUGUUUCUCUGCCUUCUUGUGCAUCGAGACAGGGGAGGGAGUGAGAGCAGUCGGCGGCUGCUCACGGCCAGCGACGGCGCGGUGGUGGCAGCCGCCAUUUCCUUUCCUGCCAAACAAAAAAAAAGGGUAGAGAGAGUGAUUAAUUGAGUUUUAGAUUUAGAAAAGAGAGAAAAGGGGGAUAAGUAGGAAAGGGGAAAGGACUUAUCUUCUCCAGCAGAGAUGGCGGCGACGCGACGGCUGAAGCAGCAACGCGGUGGCGGAAGUAGACGGCGGCGAUGCGACGGCUGGUCUUCGGCGGCAGCCACAUGCAGCGCUUUCGGCGAGUCAAAAUGAGGAAUUGAGAAGGAGAGUGAGAAAGGUGGAGAAAGAAUAGAGAAGGGAGGGAAGGAGGCGGCGCGCCGGAGGCGACGCCGCCCUCAGCCGAACAAAGAGGGAGAGACGAGAGAGGGAGCCGAGAGGGAGCCGAGAGAGAGAGAGAGGCGUGCAGUGUGUGUGUGUGUGUGUUAUGUAAGUUGUGUGUGUGUAAUGUGUUUAUAUGUAUUAGGGUUAGGCUAGAUAAUGAGCUCAUGUUUUAUUUUAUUUGGGCUUCUUUAUUUAUUAUGUUUGGGCCGAAAUUUUAAUUAAAAGUUGACUGGGCUCCUUUUAUUUU